AGUUUCACUGUGAGGGAGAAGGAAGAGAAAGAAUUCAUUGACAGAAAAGACAUAGACAUACACGGGAUACUGUUUCACAAACACCUAUUCUGAAUUUGUUUAACCUGACAAAGUCCUGGAUAUUGUCUUUUUUUUUUCAACAGAAAGUCUCCAAUGCCACUAAAUUUUGAUGUAUAAAAAAAAAACAAUGGUGCUAUCAAUAUGAUUCUAAAAUGGUUAAAUUAGGCUAUGUCUAUGUUCAUUUCGGUGAUGUAAUUGUUCAGUUAGGUGGUGUAAUUGUUGUUGAAUUAGGUGGUACGUUAGAUGUUGAAUCAGGUGGUGUAAUUGUUGUUGAAUUAAGUUAUGUUAUUGUUGAAUUAGGUAAUGUAAUUGUUGAAUUAGGUAAUGUUAUUGUUGAAUUAGGUGAUGUAAUUGUUGUUGAAUUAAGUUAUGUAAUUGUUGAAUUAGGUGAUGUAAUUGUUGUUGAAUCAGGUGGUGUUAUUGUUGUUGAAUUAGGUGGUGCAAUUGUUGUUGAAUUAAGUUAUGUAUUUCUUGAAUUAGGUAAUGUAAUUGUUGAAUUAGGUGAUGUUAUUGUUGCUGAAUUAGGAUAUUUCAUUGUUGUUGAAUUAGGUGGUGUAAUUGUUGCUGAAUUAGGAGAUUUCAUUGUUGUUGAAUUAGGUGAUGUAACUGUUGAAUUAGGUGGUGUAACUGU